GGUUGCUAAAGUCCGGAGCGCGUACAUUAAUACAUGGCAGUAAAGGCACCAGGUCUCGUUGCGAUUGGAAGCAGCUGUAUGUAUCAGUUAUUCCACUGGUUAUAUAUAUUUCAUCUGGCCGCUAUCCGGAGCCAGUUACGGAUGUGUAAAAUAACGAAAACUUAUAUCCAAGAAAUGUAUUAUUUGAAAACUUAUAGGUAAGAAAUAUAUUAUUUGAAGAUUGUUGCUUUUUCAUGUUGAGUUCCGUAGCAUUUCUAGCGUCCUGCAUUAAGAACCAUUAUGAAGCUCGCAUGAAAUUUCUAUUCAGGCAUCAAGAGGAAUUAGGUUGCGUGAAUUAAAUUAGCAGCACCCUUUUUCAAAAUAAUUUUUUUAAGUUCAAAUAUUGUGUCAAAUUAGAGAAAGUGAUC
rnacentral:lncRNA from 1 species